rnacentral:rRNA from 1 species
GAACCUGCGGAAGGAUCAUUACCUAGAGUUGUAGGCUUUGCCUGCUAUCUCUUACCCAUGUCUUUUGAGUACCUUCGUUUCCUCGGCGGGUUCGCCCGCCGAUUGGACAAUUUAAACCAUUUGCAGUUGCAAUCAGCGUCUGAAAAAACAUAAUAGUUACAACUUUCAACAACGGAUCUCUUGGUUCUGGCAUCGAUGAAGAACGCAGCGAAAUGCGAUAAGUAGUGUGAAUUGCAGAAUUCAGUGAAUCAUCGAAUCUUUGAACGCACAUUGCGCCCCUUGGUAUUCCAUGGGGCAUGCCUGUUCGAGCGUCAUUUGUACCUUCAAGCUCUGCUUGGUGUUGGGUGUUUGUCUCGCCUCUGCGUGUAGACUCGCCUCAAAACAAUUGGCAGCCGGCGUAUUGAUUUCGGAGCGCAGUACAUCUCGCGCUUUGCACUCAGAACGACGACGUCCAAAAGUACAUUUUUACACUCUUGACCU